CGAACGCCUGGCGGCGGUGCUUAACACAUGCAAGUCGAACGGUGAAGCCUUUCGGGGUGGAUCAGUGGCGAACGGGUGAGUAACACGUGGGCAAUCUGCCUGCAUUCUGGGACAAGCCUUGGAAACGAGGUCUAAUACCGGAUACGACGCAUCUCCGCAUGGGGUGUGCGUGGAAAGCUCCGGCGAUGCAGGGUGAGCCCGCGGCCUAUCAGCUUGUUGGUGGGGUGAUGGCCUACCAAGGCGACGACGGGUAGCCGGCCUGAGAGGGCGACCGGCCACACUGGGACUGAGACACGGCCCAGACUCCUACGGGAGGCAGCAGUGGGGAAUAUUGCACAAUGGGCGAAAGCCUGAUGCAGCGACGCCGCGUGAGGGAUGACGGCCUUCGGGUUGUAAACCUCUUUCAGCAGGGAAGAAGCGCAAGUGACGGUACCUGCAGAAGAAGCACCGGCUAACUACGUGCCAGCAGCCGCGGUAAUACGUAGGGUGCGAGCGUUGUCCGGAUUUAUUGGGCGUAAAGAGCUCGUAGGCGGCUUGUCGCGUCGGAUGUGAAAGCCCGGGGCUUAACUCCGGGUCUGCAUUCGAUACGGGCAGGCUAGAGUGUGGUAGGGGAGAUCGGAAUUCCUGGUGUAGCGGUGAAAUGCGCAGAUAUCAGGAGGAACACCGGUGGCGAAGGCGGAUCUCUGGGCCAUUACUGACGCUGAGGAGCGAAAGCGUGGGGAGCGAACAGGAUUAGAUACCCUGGUAGUCCACGCCGUAAACGUUGGGAACUAGGUGUGGGUCACUUCCACGUGGUCCGCGCCGCAGCUAACGCAUUAAGUUCCCCGCCUGGGG
rnacentral:rRNA from 1 species